GGCAAGGUUCACGGAUCGCUGGCCCGUGCCGGGAAGGUCCGCGGGCAGACGCCCAAGGUCGCCAAGCAGGACAAGAAGAAGCAGCCCCGCGGCCGCGCCCACAAGAGGAUCCAGUACAACCGCCGCUUCGUCACCGCCGUCGUCGGCUUCGGCAAGAAGCGCGGCCCCAACUCCUCCGAGAAGUAG
rnacentral:rRNA from 1 species